UUCUUCAGGAGCCACAUCUGUCCUCAACUUCCCCAUAGCCGGUAAGGAUGUAUCUCUAGGCAAGACUUUCCUUUUCAUUUCCCAAUGUUUUAUUUUGUCUUGAAUUCAUGAUUCAAGCACAGAGUCUAGUAACAUCUCAUUAGACAAAUUGAGUCAUAGGAGCUUGGUUCCGGGUAGCCACUGCAGACUUCCGGGUGGUCACUGCAGACUUCCGGGUGUCCACUGCAGACUUCCGGGUGGCCCCUGAAGACUUCCGGGUGUCGAAUCUAUGAGGCCUAUGGCUUUUUGUUUCUAUCAUUACUCAAUAUUUCUGUUCAAUGGGGGUACUUUCUAGUCUGUAUCCAUAUUAAACACUUCCUCCCAACGUCUGAUAUAUUGAAGCAGUUGUGGAUUGAGACAAGGCAUGGGUUUAUCAUGUUACUUCCAGCUCAGAUUUAACACCAGUUUUGGUAAACUACCAGCCACGUGCUCUACGAGGUUCUGAAAUGUGAGGCAACCUUGUUACAUUUCUACAGCCCUUGUUUACUUUUUAUUUUUUUCAAAAGCAGAAAAAUACUUUCAAACUCUCACAAUGGAAUCAUUUAGGGAAAAUAGCAAGUUUUCCCUGAAUGUGGAGCAUCUUUGUUGACUGGAGGGAGAUACAUUUUGUGGAUGUCACAAACAGCUCCAUCAGAUGGAAGAUAAAUCCAGGCUCUGUCUGAAACCAGGAAGUUCUGAGAACCCCAGGCAGCCGUUUUCAUGUAUUUUCAGCCGUAUUCAGUGUAUUUUCUUUGUGAGAGUCUCACAGGCCUGCCUUGCUUCAAAUUUGCAAUCUUCCAGCCACACCCUCCUCUGUGUUUGGGUUACAGGUCACCAACAUGCCCAAUAAAAGCUGGCAGAGCAGUCGCCAGGCAAUUUCCCGAUUCAAUUCUUCUUUGAAUUAAUCUGCCUUGCUGAUGGUGGAGAAAGAGACGCACCUUUUAAUAUUUGUGUCCCAAAGAAGACAUUUCUGGAUACCUCAUUCUUUUCUAUUAAAUUGGAAAAUGGUCA